UACGUAGGGCGCAAGCGUUAUCCGGAAUUAUUGGGCGUAAAGAGCUCGUAGGCGGUUUGUCGCGUCUGCUGUGAAAGUCCGGGGCUCAACCUCGGAUCGGCCGUGGCGACUCGUGGGCUGGAGCACUGUAGAGGCGGGUGGAAUUCCGGGUGUAGCGGUGGAAUGCGUAGAGAUCCGGAAGAACACCAGUGGCGAAGGCGGCCCGCUGGGCAGUGGCUGACGCUGAGGCGCGACAGCGUGGGGAGCAAACAGG
rnacentral:rRNA from 1 species